GACGAACGCUGGCGGCGUGCUUAACACAUGCAAGUCGAACGGAAAGGCCCUGCUUUUGUGGGGUGCUCGAGUGGCGAACGGGUGAGUAACACGUGAGUAACCUGCCCUUGACUUUGGGAUAACUUCAGGAAACUGGGGCUAAUACCGGAUAGGAGCUCCUGCUGCAUGGUGGGGGUUGGAAAGUUUCGGCGGUCGGGGAUGGACUCGCGGCUUAUCAGCUUGUUGGUGGGGUAGUGGCUUACCAAGGCUUUGACGGGUAGCCGGCCUGAGAGGGUGACCGGCCACAUUGGGACUGAGAUACGGCCCAGACUCCUACGGGAGGCAGCAGUGGGGAAUAUUGCACAAUGGGCGGAAGCCUGAUGCAGCAACGCCGCGUGCGGGAUGACGGCCUUCGGGUUGUAAACCGCUUUCGCCUGUGACGAAGCGUGAGUGACGGUAAUGGGUAAAGAAGCACCGACUAACUACGUG
rnacentral:rRNA from 1 species